UAACACAUGCAAGUCGAACGAUGAUGCCCAGCUUGCUGGGUUGAUUAGUGGCGAACGGGUGAGUAAUACGUGAGUAACCUGCCCUUGACUCUGGGAUAAGCCUGGGAAACCGGGUCUAAUACUGGAUACUACUGCGCAUCGCAUGGUGUGUGGUGGAAAGGGUUUUACUGGUUUUGGAUGGGCUCACGGCCUAUCAGCUUGUUGGUGGGGUAAUGGCUCACCAAGGCGACGACGGGUAGCCGGCCUGAGAGGGUGACCGGCCACACUGGGACUGAGACACGGCCCAGACUCCUACGGGAGGCAGCAGUGGGGAAUAUUGCACAAUGGGCGAAAGCCUGAUGCAGCGACGCCGCGUGAGGGAUGACGGCCUUCGGGUUGUAAACCUCUUUCAGUAGGGAAGAAGCGAGAGUGACGGUACCUGCAGAAGAAGCGCCGGCUAACUACGUGCCAGCAGCCGCGGUAAUACGUAGGGCGCAAGCGUUGUCCGGAAUUAUUGGGCGUAAAGAGCUCGUAGGCGGUUUGUCGCGUCUGCUGUGAAAGCCCGGGGCUCAACCCCGGGUCUGCAGUGGGUACGGGCAGACUAGAGUGCAGUAGGGGAGA
rnacentral:rRNA from 1 species